AACGUAGGAGGCAAGCGUUAUCCGGAUUUACUGGGCGUAAAGCGCGUGCAGGCGGGCUGUUAAGUCGUGUGUGAAAGCGCCCAGGCUCAACCGGGCGAGGACGGACGAGACUGACAGCCUAGAGACCGAGAGAGGCCCGCAGAAUUCCGGGUGGAGUGGUGAAAUGCGUAGAGAUCCGGAGGAAUACCAGAGGCGCAGGCGGCGGGCUAGGUCGGGACUGACGCUCAGACGCGACAGCAUGGGGAGCGAACGGG
rnacentral:rRNA from 1 species